rnacentral:rRNA from 1 species
UACGAAGGGUGCAAGCGUUACUCGGAAUUACUGGGCGUAAAGCGUGCGCAGGCGGUUUGUUAAGUCUGAUGUGAAAGCCCUGGGCUCAACCUGGGAAUUGCAUUGGAUACUGGCAGGCUAGAGUGCGGUAGAGGAUGGCGGAAUUCCCGGUGUAGCAGUGAAAUGCGUAGAGAUCGGGAGGAACAUCUGUGGCGAAGGCGGCCAUCUGGACCAGCACUGACACUGAGGCACGAAAGCGUGGGGAGCAAACAGG